rnacentral:lncRNA from 1 species
AUACUUCAGGAGGUUUUUUUCUUGCCCGUUGAAAUUCAUCCAGAAGACCCCUGGGCUUGGUUCCAGCCUGUAUCCAGCAGCUCCUGAGAUUAGCCAGCCAGAACGGAAGUCCAGCUGUUCAGUGAUGCUAUCAGCCUCGGGAUGGCUCCCGUCCCCAUGCAUAUCAUGUCUAAUUUUAACAUCUUGCGCUUCACUGCCAAUGGACUUUGACAAAGCCCAGUGUGGACCAGGGUGGUCCAGUGUGGGGGAGAAUCAGGUAGACCUGUGUUCAAAUCUGUCUUCUGCCAUUAUAAUCUGUGAGCUUGAACAGUUCCCUCCACCUCCCUAAACCACUCUUUGCUCAUCAUGAGAAGACACGAGGGAGGGGACCACUUACAUAGUUGGGCUUCAGUAUUUAUUCCUGACUCUGAGUAAACAGAAGUAUUAUUUUGAUUAUGAUGAUGAUUCUAUAACACAGACUCUGCCUGGCACAUAGUAAGCACUCGAUGAAUGAUACAUAUUAUCAUAAUGUAUAUUGCAGAUUUACCUCUUUCUGAAUUUGGUGAGUUUGACCACAGAUUCCAUGAAGUAGGGACAAAAUCUGUCUGAUUUAUCACUUGGUCCUCAUUGCCCAGUUCAGCCUGGCAUGCAAUAGGUGGUACGUACUUUUGAAGCCAUCACGAUGUGAUCCGUAUUUUUUUUGGUCUGCUUUAAAAUCACACCUAAUGGUCCUGGCGAGGCAACACUCCCAGACAUUCUCCUGCCUCCUUCACUUCCUCCAUCUCAACGUGAUGGAAUAUGUUUAAUAUAUUUGGCUCUACCUUGGGAAGGAAGGGAGAGAAGGCAGCUCAAACUCUUCUUAUGACCCGAAGCUUAAGGAGAGGGAAUUCUUCAUAAUUGUAUCUAGUCAAUAGCAAUGCAGAAACUUAAUCAUCAGGAUUGUCUAAUUGCUCCCUUGGAAUUGACUGAGAUGCUUGCUGUCCUGAGAUUUUGCUGAAUUCCAUCUCCUAACACGAGCUUGCUUAUCUGGUUUCAGGUUUUUGAUUUACGCUUUGUCUCCUCUGGCUAGUUUUUAGAAAAGUUAGAACCCUUUUGUGGCUUUACAACAAAAAAGAUAAUAUAUGAGGUUGGGGAGAUUUUUUUUUUUGUUGUUGUUGUUAUUGGGAAUACAUCAAAAAUCAUCAAUAAACCAGGCAGAACAAUGCUUGAUACAUUUAGGAGAAAACUGAUUGCAGCAGCAAUAGCUGCUUUAAACUAAUGCCUGGUUGCGUCAUUAUUCAAACAAAUACAGGAGCUACAUCAGUUUUAAUUUCUGUCUUGUUUAAAAACGAGCAGGUUUCUUUUCAGCAAAUGACGGUUGAUGAUCUGGAUCUUAACAUUAAAAGAGAGGAAAAUUUUCCACCAUUUUCUGACUUGUUCAUGUUGUAUAUUCCUCACAUUUUCAGCACCUCAAACCUGUAAUUUGCAGAAUAUGUUUUAUAAAAGCAGAAUUAGUCGUAUGGGCUUGUUUUUGUGUUUGUAUGGGUGUUGGAAGUGUGUUAGUGAGGUGUGUAUGGAAAGAGGCAUGUGGCUUUUUUCGUUUAACCUAGAUGAGACAGGCAAUUGGAAUGUUCCUUUUGUUCAAAAAGCAUGUAUUCAGAAAACACAUUGCCUCUCAACUUCACUGAGUAACCUCUCUUUAGGUAUUAAUGGAAUGAGUGAAUAGAAGCUUCCAUUUUGCCUUGUCUGGUAUCACUCAAAGGCUGAUUUUAUGUUAAAUUAUAGGUAAUUGCCUAGCCACAUCAAAAUAUUUUAAAAAAAUUGAAAGCAAGAAUAGCCAGCCUCUUUAUUCCCACUGUGUCUAGGAAAGGCUGUUGAGAUUCAAAGAAAGUAAACAAUUGAGGGUCUGGGGGUUUCAGUUUUCUUCCCCGUCCCUCAUUAUGAAAAUAUGGGAAACAUGCAGAAAAAUGUUUGAAAAGUCAACAGAAAACAUUUGUUGUAUAAAGUUUUGUCAUCUAAUUGCAACUACUGUUAAUGGUUUUGAAUGUGGUCUCAGGCUUUUUUCCAUAGAUGGGUUCACGUAAAAGAGUUGAGAUAAUAGGGCACAUACCUUUUUAUGUCCUAAUUUUUCUUUCAUGUAACUUACAGUCAUGCUUUUGUGCUCUUAUGCAUUUAUAGCCGUCCAAUAUCUUCAUGGGUGAGUAAACCAUAUUUGACUCAACUGUUCUUCUAGUGUUAAAUAUUUAGGGCGUUUCCAUUAUUUUUGCUCCACAAAUGUGUGGACUUCUUAAGUAGAUGCAUGUGGUCUGGCCCACCUGUUUCUUCCCAUUCUCAAACUUUUGUGAUUGGCUUAUACUUCGUUUUGUGGUGUCUUAACUUGGCUUUUCCACUAGGCCAAAUGACCUUCUAUCUUUUUAAUAAAAUUUCCACCGCUUUACCAGGGGAUGGUUGCAGGCUUAAAGUACCCCAGUGAUUUACUGCAAUUGACCGACAAUCUUGACCCCAGUGUAGAAACGUUAUUGCCCUGAGCCCAAAGAAUGGAGCUCUAGUUGCCUUCAGCCAAGAGAGAAACUUGGCUGAACUUGGCCUUGUCUUUUAAAGUGGAGUUUUAAUAAUUUAAGAUUUGCUUCCCUUAAAACCUCUUUUAAAUCUCCAAUCAUCAGAAGUUUCUUAUGUUUAACUAUAGGUUGCUCGUAUGGAACAUGGGUUACUUUAUACCCAAAAUGCAUGGCUUAUUUAUUUAAUUUAUUUUUUUUCUAUUGAAAUACAGUUGAUUUACAAUGUUGUGUUAUUUUCUGCUGUACAGUGAAGUGAUUCAAUUAUACAUGGAGAUAUAUUUCUUUUUUAUAUUCUUUUCCUUUCUGGUUUAUCAUUGAAUAUUGAAUAUAGUUUCUUGUGCUAUACAGUAGGACCUUGUUGUUUCUCCAUUCUGUAUAUAAUAGUUUGCAUUUGCUAAUCCCCACACUCCCAGUUCCUCCCUCCCCAACCCAGUUGGCAACCACAAGUCUGUUGUCUAUGUCUGAGUCUGUUUCUGUUUCAUAAAAUUCUGUGUCAUAGGAGUUCCCAUGGUGGUGCAGUGGUUAACAGAUCCGACUGGGAACCAUGAGGUUGCGGGUUCGACCCCUGGCCUUGCUCAGUGGGUUGAGGAUCCGGCGUUGCCAUGAGCUGUGGUGUAGGUUGCAGACGCGGCUCGGAUCCCUGCGUUGCUGUGGCUCUGGCGUGGGCCGGUGGCUACAGCUCUGAUUCAACCCCUGGACUGGGAACCUCCAUAUGCCGCAGGAGAGGCUCAAGAAAAG